GAUGAAGAACGUAGUGAAAUGCGAUACGUAAUGUGAAUUGCAGAAUUCAGUGAAUCAUCGAGUCUUUGAACGCACAUUGCGCCCUCUGGUAUUCCGGAGGGCAUGCCUGUCCGAGCGUCAUUGCUGCCCUCAAGCACGGCUUGUGUGUUAGGCCCCGUCCUCCGCUCGCGGGGGACGGGCCUGAAAGGCAGCGGCGGCACCGCGUCCGGUCCUCGAGCGUAUGGGGCUUUGUCACCCGCUCUGUAGGCCCGGCCGGCGCCUGCCGAUCAACCACACUUUUAUUCAGGUUGACCUCGGAUCAGGUAGGGAUACCCGCUGAACUUAAGCAUAUCAAUAAGCGGAGGA
rnacentral:misc_RNA from 1 species